AUCUCGUCUCUGGAAAUAAUUAAAACGAAAUAAAAAAAACAACAACAAUUAAAAUUAAAACAAAACAAAAGAACAAAAAAAAAAUGGAAAAAUUUAAAUUCCGAUUAUCGAUUAUCCGGAUCCCCGAUCGAUCCGAUAUCCGAUAUUUGGAGGGAAUCAAAGUUUUCUCUUGGUAACAAAGAGUAAUUAUGAUUAUUUCUAAUUGUUGGUCAAUCAAUCAAUUAAAGUAAUUUAGUUGAAUUAUUUUAUUUCAUGUGAAUCUCUGUAACUAUUAAUCGAGAAGAAGAAUCUAUGUUAUUAUUAAGGUGGAAAAGAAUAAAUGAAAAAGAUUGGUUUACAUUUGUGUUGAAUAUGGAAACAAAUAAAAAUGAAUAUAUGCCUUCAAUUGAUAUACCUGAUCAACUUAAAUAAUGGAAAGUGAAAGCCAAUCGUUUUUUUUUAAUAACAAUCAACAUAAUGACAAUAAUAAUGAUAUACAAUUGAAGUAUGUUAUUGGACUAUGUUGAAUACCAAUGAAUUAUCGGAUUGUUGAUGGUGAAAAUGUGCCAUGAAAUUUGAAAUCUAUUAUUAAUAAUAAUUGAUUGAUUAGCUGAUGAUGAAUAUGAUGGUCUUUAAUAUAAUCAAUUGAAUAGAUUUUAUCAAUUUGAUUGGAGGUGUAAACUUUCAAUGAUAAUGAUAAUCCAAAGGGGAUAAAACUUUUAAUAUCUAUUUCUUUCACCGAGAUUCGGUUUUACAUUUGAAAAUGAAACUAUCCAAAGAGAGAGAGAGAGAGAGAGAGAGAGAGAGAGAUAAAUGAUUAAUUAAUAAUCAAAUGGUCACUAAACUACAAUUAAGCCUAAGCAGCAACAGUGUUUCUAUUUGAUUACACAGACUUUUAUUUUUCUCACGUGUAUCCAACUAAAGGGUCGAUCAACUACCGUAGACAGAGAAAAGGAUAAAGAGAGAAGUGACCAUAAGGUAUGGAGGUGAGAAAAAAGCGUCUCCACCGUGCAAAUGAAGAUCUACAAAUCACACAUACAUAAAAAAGAGCAAAAAUUUUACAGCAAACUGUACAUUGGCCCUGCUUUUUUUCACCAUUACAGUUGAACAACCAUAUUAUUAUCACACUGGUGUACAACUUUCACUGAAUAUCCAUGAUAACAAUAUCCACCCAAGAGCAACACAAUCAAAAGUAAUAAGGUCGUUUUGGGUGGUACAUCUCCUGUCUUCCUAAGGUUCCACAUUGAUUGAGACGAAUGAAGAAAUCGUAACGAUUUCGACCGGUUCCGUUAACGUAAAUACAAUUGGUAUCGUGAACAUAACCCGCACUGUAGACCAAACCAGUGAAGGUGCCAUUGAAAACAGUAACGACUUUCAUAUAAUCAUCGGAGCAUUCAGCUGAUAUAUCUGUGGAUUAAUAUGACUUACGUUCAACUCGAGUUAGGUUGAGAUUUGGUUUUCGUGAUAAACCAUUACUACUGGACGAUAAAAAGCUUGGACCUGAUGAAGCACCAGAGGCAGGAGCAGAUCCAGUAAAUCCAACUGGAUUAGUUGAACUUCCG